GAUGAGCGUUGGCGGCGUGGAUUAGGCAUGCAAGUCGCGCGACAAGGAACCUUCGGGUUCUGGAGGAGCGGCAAACGGGGUAGUAAGGCAUCGGAACGUACCCUCUUGUUGGGAAUAGCCGCGGGAAACUGCGAGUAAUGCCCAAUAAUCCCUACGGGGCAAAGGUCCGCCGCAGGAGGAGCGGCCGAUGUGAUACCAGCUAGUUGGUGAGGUAAUGGCUCACCAAGGCUUAGACGUCUAGGGGUGUGAGAGCAUGGCCCCCACCACUGGGACGUGAGAUACUGCCCACGACACCUACGGGUGGCUGCAGUCGAGAAUCUUCGGCGAAUGGGCGGCAAGCCUCGACCGACGCAACGACCGCCGUGCGGGAGUGAAGGCCCUUCGGGUUGGU
rnacentral:rRNA from 1 species